UACGUAGGGUGCGAGCGUUGUCCGGAAUUAUUGGGCGUAAAGAGCUCGUAGGCGGUUUGUCGCGUCUGCCGUGAAAACCCGAGGCUUAACCUCGGGCUGGCGGUGGAUACGGGCAGACUAGAGGUAGGUAGGGGAGAAUGGAAUUCCCGGUGUAGCGGUGAAAUGCGCAGAUAUCGGGAGGAACACCAGUGGCGAAGGCGGUUCUCUGGGCCUUACCUGACGCUGAGGAGCGAAAGCGUGGGGAGCGAACAGG
rnacentral:rRNA from 1 species